AUGACGGCUUGCGAGAGGAUGAACGAAGCAGUGGUCCAGCGGCACCGGGAAUGGGCGUGGGAGGUGCAGAUCCGAAGCCGGAAGGCGAGCUCUGGCCGGAUCCAGGGCGAGAACGGCGGAGAUGGCCGGCAGGGCAGGAGGCGCGAUGUCGGAGGCGACGAUGACGAAGACGUUGGGGUGUGCCCAGACACGAAGGAGGCAUGGCGCGAUGCGGCUCGUUGA
rnacentral:rRNA from 1 species